UACGGAGGGUGCAAGCGUUAAUCGGAAUUACUGGGCGUAAAGCGUGCGCAGGCGGUUUGUUAAGUCUGUUGUGAAAUCCCCGAGCUCAACUUGGGAAUUGCAAUGGAUACUGGCAGGCUGGAGUAUGGUAGAGGAAGGUGGAAUUCCCGGUGUAGCAGUGAAAUGCGUAGAGAUCGGGAGGAACACCAGUGGCGAAGGCGGCCUUCUGGACCAAUACUGACGCUCAUGCCCGAAAGCGUGGGGAGCAAACAGG
rnacentral:rRNA from 1 species